GAUGAACGCUGGCGGCGUGCCUAAUACAUGCAAGUCGAGCGAACGGACGAGAAGCUUGCUUCUCUGAUGUUAGCGGCGGACGGGUGAGUAACACGUGGAUAACCUACCUAUAAGACUGGGAUAAUUUCGGGAAACCGGAGCUAAUACCGGCUAAUAUUUUGAACCGCAUGGUUCAAAAGUGAUAGACGGUCUUGCUGUCACUUAUAGAUGGAUCCGCGCUGCAUUAGCUAGUUGGUAAGGUAACGGCUUACCAAGGCAACGAUGCAUAGCCGACCUGAGAGGGUGAUCGGCCACACUGGAACUGAGACACGGUCCAGACUCCUACGGGAGGCAGCAGUAGGGAAUCUUCCGCAAUGGGCGAAAGCCUGACGGAGCAACGCCGCGUGAGUGAUGAAGGUCUUCGGAUCGUAAAACUCUGUUAUUAGGGAAGAAAAUAUGUGUAAGUAACUGUGCACAUCUUGACGGUACCUAAACAGAAAGCCACGGCUAACUACGUG
rnacentral:rRNA from 1 species